AUUGAACGCUGGCGGAAUGCUUUACACAUGCAAGUCGAACGGUAGAGGGGGCAACCCCUCGAGAGUGGCGAACGGGUGAGUAAUAUAUCGGAACGUGCCCAGUCGUGGGGGAUAACGUGGCGAAAGUUACGCUAAUACCGCAUACGAUCUAAGGAUGAAAGCGGGGGAUCGCAAGACCUCGCGCGAUUGGAGCGGCCGAUAUCAGAUUAGGUAGUUGGUGGGGUAAAGGCUCACCAAGCCAACGAUCUGUAGCUGGUCUGAGAGGACGACCAGCCACACUGGAACUGAGACACGGUCCAGACUCCUACGGGAGGCAGCAGUGGGGAAUUUUGGACAAUGGACGCAAGUCUGAUCCAGCCAUUCCGCGUGCAGGAUGAAGGCCCUCGGGUUGUAAACUGCUUUUGUACAGAACGAAAAGGUUUCUACUAAUACUAGGAGCUCAUGACGGUACCGUAAGAAUAAGCACCGGCUAACUACGUGCCAGCAGCCGCCGUAA
rnacentral:rRNA from 1 species